UUUGUAGAAUGAACCGGCGAGUUACGAUUUGUUGCAAGGUUAAGCGGAAAAAGCGGAGCCGUAGCGAAAGCGAGUCUGAAUAGGGCGCAUAAGUAACAGGUCGUAGACCCGAAACCAGGUGAUCUACCCAUGUCCAGGAUGAAGGUAAGGUAAUACUUACUGGAGGUCCGAACCCACGCACGUUGAAAAGUGCGGGGAUGAGGUGUGGGUAGCGGAGAAAUUCCAAUCGAACUUGGAGAUAGCUGGUUCUCUCCGAAAUAGCUUUAGGGCUAGCCUCGAGGUAAAGAGUCAUGGAGGUAGAGCACUGUUUGGACUAGGGGCCCUUCUCGGGUUACCGAAUUCAGAUAAACUCCGAAUGCCAUGUACUUAUACUCGGGAGUCAGACUGCGAGUGAUAAGAUCCGUAGUCGAAAGGGAAACAGCCCAGACCACCAGUUAAGGUCCCCAAAUAUAUGUUAAGUGGAAAAGGAUGUGGGGUUGCUUAGACAACCAGGAUGUUGGCUUAGAAGCAGCCACCAUUGAAAGAGUGCGUAAUAGCUCACUGGUCGAGUGACCCCGCGCCGAAAAUGUACCGGGGCUAAACAUAUUAC
rnacentral:rRNA from 1 species